rnacentral:rRNA from 1 species
UACGUAGGGUGCAAGCGUUAAGCGGAAUUACUGGGCGUAAAGCGUGCGCAGGCGGCUUUGCAAGACAGAUGUGAAAUCCCCGGGCUCAACCUGGGAACUGCAUUUGUGACUGCAUGGCUGGAGUGCGGCAGAGGGGGAUGGAAUUCCGCGUGUAGCAGUGAAAUGCGUAGAUAUGCGGAGGAACACCGAUGGCGAAGGCAAUCCCCUGGGCCUGCACUGACGCUCAUGCACGAAAGCGUGGGGAGCAAACAGG